ACCCAGGAGGUCAGGGAGAUGCAUUACACUUACUAGAGAUGCUCUACGAGAACGUCUGCUCAUGGGCUGAUCAAACGGUGGGCUGUUAAUCUGUAACUUUUCAAGGUAGCCAUCGGGUAUCCUGAUAUCAGCAGGCAGGGACAAACGCUUGUUCAAAUCCUCCAUGGAGAUUCGUCUGUGUAUUCGGUUUCGGAGACAAACACCCGUGGGAGACUGAACUUCAUCAGAUGAUGUUCCAGAAGCUUGGUCACUUUCACCAUCUGACCCCAUUUUCAGAUUUUCAUGAACAAUAUCUAGUCUGCUCCC
rnacentral:lncRNA from 1 species